GUUGUUGACUUUAGGCAAAUCUCAUGGAUCAGUCCGUGAUUCAGCCUGAAACAAUGGAACUGGUGGUUGUCACUCAUGUUGUGGAUGCCAUCACGUUUUGGGCUCAGAAUGUGACCGACAAAAUAAAUGAGAAGAUAAAUGUUAUGCUGACAGAAAAAUGCCCCAGUGCACCUAUACUCAU